CCUACGGGAGGCAGCAGUAGGGAAUAUUGCGCAAUGGGCGAAAGCCUGACGCAGCAACGCCGCGUGAUCGAGACGCCCUUCGGGAUGUAUAGAUCUGUCAGUGGGGACGAUACUUGACGGUACCCACAGAGGAAGCAACGGUUAAUUCAGUGACAGCAGCGACGGUAAUACGGGGGGGGCAAGCGUUGUCCGGAAUCAUUGGGCGUUAAGGGGUCGUAGGCGGCGCGUUAAGUCUGGUGUUAAAAGCAGAGGCUUAACUUCUGUACUGCUCUGGAUACUGGCGAACUAGAAUGCGGUAGGGGUAAAGGGAAUUCCUGGUGUAGCGGUGAAAUGCUUAGAUAUCAGGAGGAACAUCGGUGGCGGAAGCGCUUUACUGGGCCGUAAUUGACGCUGAGGAACGAAAGCCAGGGUAGCAAAUGGGAUUAGAUACCCGGGUAGUC
rnacentral:rRNA from 1 species